GACGAACGCUGGCGGCGUGCUUAACACAUGCAAGUCGAACGGAAAGGCCCUGCUUGCAGGGUACUCGAGUGGCGAACGGGUGAGUAACACGUGGGUGAUCUGCCCUGCACUUCGGGAUAAGCCUGGGAAACUGGGUCUAAUACCGGAUAGGAGCCAUUUUUAGUGUGAUGGUUGGAAAGUUUUUUCGGUGUAGGAUGAGCUCGCGGCCUAUCAGCUUGUUGGUGGGGUAAUGGCCUACCAAGGCGGCGACGGGUAGCCGGCCUGAGGGGGUGGACGGCCACCCUGGGACUGAGAUGCGGCCCCGUCUCCUACGGGAGGCCGAAGGGGGGAAUCUUGCCCAAUGGGCGCCAGCCUGAUGCAGCGACGCCGCGUGGGGGAUGACGGCCUUCGGGUUGUAAACUCAUUUCGCUAGGGACGAAGCUUUUUGUGACGGUACCUAGACAAGAAGCCCCGGCUAACUACGUG
rnacentral:rRNA from 1 species